rnacentral:rRNA from 1 species
AUUGAACGCUGGCGGAAUGCUUUACACAUGCAAGUCGAGCGGCAGCGCGGCCUUCGGGCUGGCGGCGAGCGGCGAACGGGUGAGUAAUGCAUCGGAACAUGCCCAAUCGUGGGGGAUAACACUUCGAAAGAAGUGCUAAUACCGCAUACGUCCUGAGGGGGAAAGCGGGGGAUCGCAAGACCUCGCGCGAUUGGAGUGGCCGAUGUCAGAUUAGCUAGUUGGUGGGGUAAAGGCCUACCAAGGCGACGAUCUGUAGCUGGUCUGAGAGGAUGAUCAGCCACACUGGGACUGAGACACGGCCCAGACUCCUACGGGAGGCAGCAGUGGGGAAUUUUGGACAAUGGGGGCAACCCUGAUCCAGCCAUUCCGCGUGAGUGAAGAAGGCCUUCGGGUUGUAAAGCUCUUUCGGCAGGAACGAAACGGUGGGCUCUAACAUAGUCCGCUAAUGACGGUACCUGAAGAAGAAGCACCGGCUAACUACGUG